AUUGAACGCUGGCGGCAGGCCUAACACAUGCAAGUCGAACGAGUGGCGGACGGGUGAGUAAUGUAUGGGAAACUGCCCGAUCGAGGGGGAUAACGACGGGAAACGGUAGCUAAUACCGCAUACGAUCGGAUGGGCCGAGGUGGGAUUAGCUAGUCGGCGGGGUAACGGCUCACCAAGGCGACGAUCCCUAGCUGGUCUGAGAGGAUGACCAGCCACACUGGAACUGAGACACGGUCCAGACUCCUACGGGAGGCAGCAGUGGGGAAUAUUGCACAAUGGGCGCAAGCCUGAUGCAGCCAUGCCGCGUGGAUGAAGAAGGCCUUCGGGUUGUAAAGUACUUUCAUCGGGGAGGCGUUACUCGCAGAAGAAGCACCGGCUAACUCCGUGCCAGCAGCCGCGGUAAUAC
rnacentral:rRNA from 1 species